rnacentral:rRNA from 1 species
GACGAACCGUGCUAACGUUGUUCGGAAUCACUGGGCUUAAAGGGCGCGUAGGCGGUCUAUCAAGUCGGGGGUGAAAUCUUUCGGCCCAACCGGAAAAGGGCCUUCGAUACUGAUAGACUAGAGCGAGGUAGGGGCAGAUGGAACUUCCGGUGGAGCGGUGAAAUGUGUUGAUAUCGGAAGGAACGCCGGUGGCGAAGGCGGCAUCCUGGACCGGCAUUGACGCUGAGGCGCGAAAGCUAGGGGAGCAAACGGG